UGGGGUGUAGCCAAGCGGCAAGGCAUCGGUUUUUGGUAUCGUGAUCGUUGGUUCGAAUCCAGCCACCCCAGCCA
rnacentral:tRNA from 1 species